rnacentral:rRNA from 1 species
AUGUCCUUAAGCAGCAAGCCACGCCAGCAGCAGCAGCUCAUGGCGUUCUGGGCAUCGUUGCUGCUGGUGCACCUGGGCGGACAGGACACCAUCACUGCCUACGCCAUAGAAGACAACAACCUCUGGCUGCGCCAUCUGUUCACUCUGGUGGUGCAGGCUGCCGGAGCAGCCUAUGUGUUGUACAAGUACGUCGCCGCAGGCAGCUGGACCUUGCUCGCCGCAGCUGUCUUGAUGUCCUUUGUGGGUGUUAUCAAGUACGGUGAGAGGAUAUAUGCUCUCAGGUCCUCCGGCCUUGACAACAUCAGCAACUUCCUCGACAACUUUGAGGUACCCCGCGGGGAGGCCAGUUACCCGGUACUCUUAACCAAUUUAGAUGAAGAAGAGGUCUUGCAGGGAGCUCAUGAUCUUCUGCCCAUCUGCAUGGGCCAGUUGGUCGACAACAAUGUCAGACCAUCCGGGUUCCGGUAUGGAGCCAUAAACGCGUAUCACAAUCCUGCCAAUGCUGAUCGCACUGCCGGGCGGAGCAUGCUGCCACAGCUGAUCGGGAUGCAGCUCUCGCUGAUGCGUGACCUCCUCUACACCAAGGCUGCGGUGAUCCACAGGACGUCGUACGGAUGCAUUUCCCGCAUCUUCUCCACGGUCUGCACCAUCGUGGCUUUCUACCUCUUCCGGCAGUCCACUAUGGCUGGCGCCGGUUACAGCAAGGGUGACAUGGCGGUCACCUACAUCCUGUUGGCCGGGGCCUUUUUCCUGGAGCUGGCAUCGCUGUCAAGGGCAUUUCUGUCAACUUGGACAUGCACAUGGCUAAAAGCCGCGGGAUGGAACCGGCUCCAUGCGGCAUUGGUGUGGCUUCGCAGGGGCGUCAAGGCUGCUCAAAGAUGCAGGAGGUGGUCAGGCUCCAUCGGGCAGCACGACCUGUUGGAAUAUCACAUGCAUGGUAAGAGCGGCCUAGUAUACACGAUAGCGUCUUUCGUUGGGCUGGAGCACCGGUGGAACAGGCUGAGGUUCUUCCAUCCCUUGGUGAUCUCACUCGAUCUGCAUGACUUGUUGGUGCGCGAGAUAGAGCGCAUGGUGGAAGCUAGUGGAACAACUUAUGAUUCGCGCAACCUGGAUCAGUGGCGUCGAAGCCGAGCGGCUGUUGGUGCAUGGGUUACUGGUGGUGCCGGUGCUCAAUUCUACACUGGUGCCACUGGGGCUGAAGGAGAGGACGGUUUUGACGCGGAAGAGGCUGGUUUCGACGGCACAAUACUCGCCUGGUGCUACGCCACACACGCCUUCCUCGACUUUUUCGAUUUAUGUUGCACGCUGCCGUUGGCUGAGCGGCUGCAUGCCAGGGCACCAAUUUACAUGGACCGUCAGGUCCAAGCCAUGAGCAGCCAAGACAAGGAACGGCAACAGGGCCUCGCUAAAGCAAUCCGGGUAUUGUCAAGAUACAUGGUGUUCCUCCUUGUGGAGCAGCCUCAUUUGCUGCCAAGCCCUGUUCGACGCAGCAAGUACGACAGCUUCUGCAUGGCGUACAGGGAAUUCCCAAGAAUCUCGGAUUUGCUAGGAGCGGCGGAUAUGAGCCAAGAUUACGGGGUCCUCCGCCCGGCCGUACAUCUUGCGAAUAGACUGCUGGCCAGGUGCGAGCAUAUGGGGGCGCAGGACGUCUUGCUGGUCAUGUCCCAGGUGUGGGUGGAGAUGUUGUGCUACGCCGCAAGCCACUGCAACCACGAAGCCCAUGCAAGGCAGCUCAGCAGCGGCACCGAGUUCAUCACCGUCGUGCUGAUCCUCUCCACCACCUUGAAGAACGGCUUUCGUUCUCAGUAA